UGGGGAAUAUUGGACAAUGGGCGCAAGCCUGAUCCAGCAAUGCCGCGUGAGUGAUGAAGGCCUUAGGGUUGUAAAGCUCUUUUACCCGGGAAGAUAAUGACUGUACCGGGAGAAUAAGCCCCGGCUAACUCCGUGCCAGCAGCCGCGGUAAUACGGAGGGGGCUAGCGUUGUUCGGAAUUACUGGGCGUAAAGCGUACGUAGGCGGCUUUGUAAGUUAGAGGUGAAAGCCCGGAGCUCAACUCCGGAACUGCCCUUGAAACUGCAGUGCUAGAAUCCUGGAGAGGCGAGUGGAAUUCCGAGUGUAGAGGUGAAAUUCGUAGAUAUUCGGAAGAACACCAGUGGCGAAGGCGACUCGCUGGACAGGUAUUGACGCUGAGGUGCGAAAGCGUGGGAAGCAAA
rnacentral:rRNA from 1 species